UUCCAAUUGCCUAUCACACUGAACAUACCCUAUCAAAUUAUAUUUGACAAUUUAUAUUUGUGAAAAUUUAAAACUGAACCGGCAGCAGCAAAAACUCGGAAGGAAGAAAAUCGGGCAAAGUACAAUAACCGCGAAAAAACAACAAAAACCAUCAAUUUCAAAACGCAAUAAAAGUCAAUGGCUGGAACAAUUUUAAAAGCAGAAAAACAAGGAUUGUUAUUAAUAAAUUCUUUUCAAGCAACGAAACAGGAAGUUGGCGUUUGUGCUCUAAUGUUGUGGGCGGAAAAGAAACUAUGAUGUUGGAAUACUCCAUGGCCUCCUCCAUUGUUUGGUGGCUUGCAAAUUUCUUCACAAUUAUGGAAAGAUUGUUCGUCGUAAUAUUUGUGAAAGACAAUUGUCAUUAAAAAGAAAUGUGUCGGAAAAAAUGAAUUGUCAUGGAGAAAUAAUUGGUGUUGGAUGAAAUCAGACACAAAAUCGCGAACCGGCAAUUAUGGGCAUAAUUGGAAUCUAUUAAACUGCCAAGUCCAAUACAAUAUUGGCGAUAUGAAAGGAUGUCAUGUCCCACAAAUUCGUACUAUUUUUAAUACCAUGAAAAUGGCUUAAUCCUUGCUCAAUUCAAUACAUUUGUUGCCUUGAUCAAGGAAAUGUUUGACCGGGGCGAAACAGAACAAAGGGAAAAUUGGAACAAUUAUCCACAAUACAAAAAUAUAACAAAUGAG